UAACUCAGUGGUAGAGUGCUUGUCUAGCAUGCAUGAAGCAUUGAGUUCAAUUCUCAG
rnacentral:tRNA from 1 species